ACUAGUGGCUAUAGAGGGAGGGAAAUACCCAGCUCCAUUUCGAACCUGGAAGUCAAGCCUCCCAUCGCUGAUAAUACUGCAGUUUUCAAUUGUGGAAAGGUAAGUCGCUGCUAGUG
rnacentral:rRNA from 1 species